UCAGCACCACUCAAGUGCUUUAUUUCUCCUAGCAGGUACCCACCACAGGAGAAUAUAGGGGAAUUUUGUUUAAAAGAAGCUGCAGCACACGGUUUUAUCUAUGGUGGCUCUGCUUUCAAAAUGCAAAGUGCUGAGUAAGCAGAAGAGCUGUCCUGACCUUUUAAAAAUACAUUGCUAUUAAUCCAUGGGCUUCCUCCUGAAUUCUGGCCUGCAGGUGGGACGCUCUCUCCCGGCGCGGUGCGCAGGCAGCUUGCUCUGCAAUUCCCUGACAAACAGCCGGGAGCAGGCAGCAGAGGCACUGGGCUCCAGCUGAGCCGCCUGCUGAUGCCUCACCAGAGAAGGAUCCUGGCAGGAUUUUUCACUAAGCAGUGCAACCUGACCCACCAGAGCGGAGUUUUGUGGCUAAUGGCAUUGCUGAAGCUUGGUUUAGCUUUUGUGAAAUCGGAGGAGGAGAUGAAAGAGACUUCGGGAUAAAGCACUUGUUUCUGCCAGGCAGCUGUUGGUGAGAAGUGAUGUUUGGAAAUGCAACACAAAUAAAGAGAAAUUCUAUUCUAUCCAAAAUCCCUUGGAUUUUUGUUUCCCAGCCUUUUGAGAUAAAUAGCUUCAUUAUGUUUAUGUGCAAGAAAAAAGACUUUACUGAGGAGAAGAGUGGUUUUACUGAAUGUGUUUUGCAUGAAGCUGAGGAAACGGUGAGG